rnacentral:rRNA from 1 species
CAGACUCCUACGGGAGGCAGCAGUGGGGGAAUUUUUGGGACUAAUGGGGGGCAACCCGUGAUCCAGCGACGCCGCGUGAAGGAUGAAGGUCUUCGGGAUCGUAAACUUCUUUUAGAGGGGUAUGGAAUGAGUUGGUGAAUAGCCAACUGUGACAGUACUCUUUGAAUAAGCCACGGCUAACUACGUGCCAGCAGCCGCGGUAAUAC